rnacentral:rRNA from 1 species
GAUCAUGGCUCAGGACGAACGCUGGCGGCGUGCCUAAUACAUGCAAGUCGAACGAGAGCGAUCGGUGCUUGCACUGGUCAAUCUAGUGGCGAACGGGUGAGUAACACGUGGGUAACCUGCCCAUCAGAGGGGGAUAACAUCCGGAAACGGAUGCUAAAACCGCAUAGGUCCUUUAACCGCAUGGUUGAAGGAGGAAAAAGAGGCGCAAGCUUCUGCUGAUGGAUGGACCCGCGGUG